CCUCUAUUCUCAUAACAAAAAAAUCGCUAGUAUCCUUCAUCCAUCAAACAUAUCUAUCUGUUACACCAACAUCACCCUCCACCUUCUAAUCUGCCAUCGACACUCAACACCGGUGACCGUCAACCACCACCUCCACCCUCUUCACCUUCCGACCGGAACCCUAACGUCGCCGCCGCCGGCCCCUCCGUCCUUAACCCCAAUCUCCGACGGAACCAUCCACGCAUCACCGCCGCCCUCAGCCUUCCUUCCACCCACGCGACGUCCUCCACCUGCUUCGUCACCCUUCUCCGUCAUCUCCGCCACUCGCUGACCACCUCCACAUCUCCAUUGCCGGCACCGCCCUGAAUAGCACCGCCGGUCAACCACAGCCUUACUUCUCCGUCGCCGGUUCCAAUUAGGAACAACAUCAGGUAUGUCUCUCCUCUGUAGUCGCGUGACACUCCGAAACGCCCAUCGUUCUUGCUUCAAUAACAACGCAACCGAACCACUGCCCCCUACAUUUGAGACAAACUCUACCCACUGUUAACACACCAAACAGUCCUGAUUCCAAUUGCAGAUGUCAAUCCAUGUUUUUGAAAUUAUAGUGAAAUUGCAUUUACACUGAAUUGGUUUUGAGUUAUAUCUGAAUUGAUAAUUUUGUUCUAAUUGUUGGUGUAUACCUUGAGAUUAUUGAAGUCGCCUUGCAUAUCACGACUCGUUUAAGGUAUGUACUCAGUUUCACUUUGUUAACUUGUGGUGUGUUGAGUCAUUCAUUUGGGGUUACAAAAAAGUGGUUACUAAUCAGUUUCAACGGUGAUGCUCUUGAUGAUUGUUGAUAAACCAACCGUCGUGGAAAUAUGAGUGAAACGAAACGAACAACUGCAACCACCUUUGUAGAUUCCUUACACACUCAUCUCCGAGCCUCGAGGACGAUGCUAUAUCUUAAGCUUGGGGAGGUUGAGAUUUGAGGUGUGGAGUAAUUGCUAAGGAUUACAAUGGAUUUCUGAAAGAACUUGAGGAGUGCAUCUAAAAAGAAGGUGUUUAUUAAUGAAGAUAACUCAUUCAACAUGUGAAUUAAAUGGCUGGACUAUUCUGGUGCAAAGUCAAGAAAUAUAAAGUGAUCAUUGUGUUGCAACAAAUAAAGAUUUUUGUGGGCUGAAUUUUAGAGGUAUGGAAUUAAUAAGUCUAUAUGGGUUGGCCACGAGAGAGAAAGCAAGGACAAUUAUAAUUGGGCUAAGCAAUAUGGGCUGCCAAAAACAAGAAAAAGAGAUAAAAUAUCAUCAUAAACAAACAACCUAGACGAGAAAAUUUGGCUUUUUGGGGACGGCUGCUGCAACUCGAGAUCAAGAAAAAAGGCAUUUUCUCUUUUGUGAUUUUUGAGAACAAUUUGUUUAGUAAGUUUCGGAUGUUUUCUUUCAUAUUUGUAUUGAUUGAACUAGCCACCAUGUCCGGCUAGACUUUUAUAGUUUCGACAUCGGGGUUUAUUUUCAUUGUUUUGGUUCAUAAACUUAUGUGAAACGAUCACGUUAGAUCCAAUUAUUUUAGUGGUUUGUUUAUAUGA